UACGGGGGGGGCAAGCGUUGUUCGGAAUUACUGGGCGUAAAGGGCUCGUAGGCGGCCAACUAAGUCGGACGUGAAAUCCCUCAGCUUAACUGAGGAACUGCGUCCGAUACUGGAUGGCUUGGAUUCGGGAGAGGGAUGCGGAAUUCCAGGUGUAGCGGUGAAAUGCGUAGAUAUCUGGAGGAACACCGGUGGCGAAGGCGGCAUCCUGGACCGAUAUUGACGCUGAGGAGCGAAAGCUAGGGGAGCAAACGGG
rnacentral:rRNA from 1 species